UCCAGGAAUCAGAUCAGAAAUUCGACCGUUUUCCUGUAAGUCAAUAAAAAUCCCAAAACAGAACCCAAAGAGGAACUUGAAGCUUUAGGGAAGUUUUGUAGUAGGGCAUUUAGUCACUGGAACAACUGUUUCUCCUUGAAAGGUAAAGCCAGUCUUCAGUGCUUGAAAUUCGGCAGCUUGGCUCCUGGACAGCACCCAACCUCGAGUCGCCUCGCCUGUCCAUGCCUGUCCUCUCCUGCUCCGGGACCUGCAGACCACUUCGGACCCACACGUGACUGGCUGGGAUUCACUGUGUGUCUGGAGAAUGGAAACAAAAGAAGUUGGAAGGAAGGAAGAUGACGUCCUCUGGGUCCCUGUGGUCCCCGCGUGCCCGCGACCUUUCAGUGCAGCGAAGGUUGACUGCACACACGAAGCCCCACCCAGGACAGCGGCACAUGGGAAAUCAGACCGUGCACAGCCAGAGGGUGGAAGAGGGCCCCAGAGUGGCGGUGUGAUCUGCAUUU